rnacentral:lncRNA from 1 species
UCUUUUACCACAGAUUCCACAACCAACUUACAUUCUACUAAAAUACCUUAUUCAUGUGUAACUAAAGAUUAAAAAGUUCUUUUAUGAAUUACUUGGACACUUAACAGUUUAUCUGUUUGCAUAACCCCUCAUGUUCUAUGGGAUCCUACUUCCAGUAACUCAUUAUUUGGGAGUGACCUCUCUAAAAAGAUUUUUGUUGUAGAAAAUCGAACUGAAAACUGUCUCAAGAUAUUUGGGGAUGAUGACAAUAUAUUUUAUAAAGUUACUCAAAAAAAGGUCUGAUGACAUAAAGAUGCCUUCAGGUUCACUAAAAACUGUUCAUAAAUCUUGUGCUAUGAAAGAAGCCAUAGGUAACCACAGUGAGAAAACUUUCUCUAAUGAUAAUGCUGAAGAAUUAAAGAUUACAUCUGCUGCCCCUCAGAAGAAAGGUCCUACAGACAGAGCCAAGUUCAGGAAGAUGGGAGCUGACCUGAAAAAGUUUGUUGCUGGCAAUGAAAGCAGAAAUUCCUUGGAGAAUUAGCAGUCGCAAAAGGAGAAUUUUCUAUGGCAAACUUUAAAACAAGAGGAGACAGUAAGUCAUCUUGGUGUAAACAGAAUGUACAAACAUCUUCUCUUGGUCCUUAAGUAUUUUUUGAUAUAUGAACUGUUUGUCAAUGCAUGAACUAUGAAGUUCUCUUAGGCAGAAAUUCUGUUUUAAAAUGGUGAACCAAGGAAUCUAUCUUAUUUUAUAUUAUUUUACAUUGUAAAUAAGAACAACCAUAUCCAGAACCAUAUAUAUAAAACAUUAUUUCAACUCUUUUGGAAAGAAUAUGUCUGUCCUUAACUCCUCCUCAGUGUAAAAUACAUUCCUGAAAACAUAUUUUAAUUUC